rnacentral:rRNA from 1 species
AUUGAACGCUGGCGGCAGGCCUAACCCAUGCAAGUCGAACGAGUGGCGGACGGGUGAGUAAUGUCUGGGAAACUGCCCGAUGGAGGGGGAUAAAUACUGGAAACGGUAGCUAAUACCGCAUACCAUCGGAUGUGCCCAGAUGGGAGUAGCUAGUAGGUGGGGUAACGGCUCACCUAGGCGACGAUCCCUAUCUGGUCUGAGAGGAUGACCAGCCACACUGGAACGGAGACACGGUCCAGACUCCUACGGGAGGCAGCAGUGGGGAAUAUUGCACAAUGGGCGCAAGCCUUAUGCAGCCAUGCCGCGUGUAUGAAGAAGGCCUUCGGGUUGUAAAGUACUUUCAGCUGGGAGGCGUUACUCGCAGAAGAAGCACCGGCUAACUCCGUGCCAGCAGCCGCGGUAAUAC